GUGAAACACAAGAGUGCUCUUAAUUGAGGCUCGUUUUAACUAUCCAUUAACACUUUGUGCAUUUGAAAACACAUCUUACCCUUUGGGCUUCGGUUCUUGGGUUCGAUUUACACAUAACCCCUUUGCUUUAAAUGAGAUGAUGAUGUUAUAAAUUGAAAUAUGAAAGU
rnacentral:misc_RNA from 1 species